UACGAAGGGGGCUAGCGUUGUUCGGAAUUACUGGGCGUAAAGCGUGCGCAGGCGGUUAUGUAAGACAGAUGUGAAAUGCCCGGGCUUAACCUGGGAACUGCAUUUGUGACUGCAUGGCUAGAGUUUGGCAGAGGGGGGUAGAAUUCCACGUGUAGCAGUGAAAUGCGUAGAUAUGUGGAGGAAUACCGAUGGCGAAGGCAGCCCCCUGGGUCAAGACUGACGCUCAUGCACGAAAGCGUGGGGAGCAAACAGG
rnacentral:rRNA from 1 species